GUGCUUGCUCCAGCAGCACAUAUAUUAAAACGAGAACAAUACAGAGAAGAUUAGCAUGACCCCUUUGCAAGGAUGACAUGCAAAUUUGUGAAGCGUCCCAUAUUUUG
rnacentral:snRNA from 1 species